GUCUCCAUAGCUCAAUCGGAUAGAGCAACAGACUUCUAAUCUGUAGGUUACUGGUUCGAUUCCAGUUGGAGACG
rnacentral:tRNA from 1 species